rnacentral:rRNA from 1 species
AGUGAACGCUGGCGGUAGGCCUAACACAUGCAAGUCGAACGGCAGCACAGUAAGAGCUUGCUCUUACGGGUGGCGAGUGGCGGACGGGUGAGGAAUACAUCGGAAUCUACUUUUUCGUGGGGGAUAACGUAGGGAAACUUACGCUAAUACCGCAUACGACCUACGGGUGAAAGCAGGGGAUCUUCGGACCUUGCGCGAUUGAAUGAGCCGAUGUCGGAUUAGCUAGUUGGCGGGGUAAAGGCCCACCAAGGCGACGAUCCGUAGCUGGUCUGAGAGGAUGAUCCGCCACACUGGAACUGAGACACGGGCCCGACUCCUAAGGGGGGGAACAGUGGGGAAUAUUGGACAAUGGGGGCAAACCUUGUCCCGCCAUACCGCGUGGGGGGAAGAAGCCUUUGGGUUGUUAAAGCCUUUUUGUGGGAAAAAAAAACAGCAGGGUUAUACCCCCCUGUUCUGGCCGUACCCAAAAAAAAAACCCCCGCUAAAUUCGGG